ensembl:lncRNA
UUUCACCUACUAAAAAUAAGUAGUAAAUAAGAGAGCAAGUCCUUUAAACCGCUUCAGGGAAACAUGAAAAAACAACAACAACAUGAUAGCAUGGUUCAAGAAAUAAACAACUUUCACGGAAUGUGUAGCGUAUGUUUAUUUAUAAACAUGGGUCUGUCUUCCUGAAGAAAAAACAAGCAGCAGCAACAACAGUCUUUAAAACAUCUAAAAUAAAACAGGCCAUUAUGACAGUAGGAGUCAUGAAAUUAACCCGGUUAUUAUCAUAAUCAGGUUGGCCUUUAUCUGCUUCAGAUAUGUGAAUGCUCUUUCUGCCCCUGCAGUAAAUCACAGCCAUAAAUCAGAUAUGUUGAGGCGGCGCUGAUGUUGUUGUAACAAAAAAGCACAUGUCCUGACUGUAAUCCGCGGGCCGAGGCGAUACAUCAUCCAGCAGAACAGCUGAGUGUGACAGGCUCAUCUGUCCCAGUCAGGAGAGGUCUCCCUGUUAGAUAAAAGACUGAGGAAGGAGGGCCGCAUGAUAAAGGUAGCACACAAAUCAGAGCCAAACAGCUGUAUAAAACAUAAUGAAAUCCAAUAAUAAGCUGAGUGUGCAGAGGCUUAAUGUGAGGAAGGAUUUUUACGGCCGCUCAUUUGCUCCGAGGACCUGGAACCAACUUCCUGCGGUGGAGGUCUGCUGGCUGUUGAGCUCUGACACCGAGGCAGGCAGCAGUCACAUGACGGGCGCCGUCGGUGGUGGCCGGGUGGACGUCUGGUCCGGCCUGUCAGGCAGCAUCUGCACCACCCACACGGUCCAACUGUUUGCAGGAAGCAUGCGGAGGGGGAGCGGUGGGUGUCUGCUCAGCCCGGAUUACAUGCCGCUUCUCGGGCCUUGCAGCAGUCGCGGACUGACGGACACAAGCAGGUGAAGCAAAACAAAGCAUUAGCACUAAAAAUAAAAAUAACAAGCAGGCAAUGCAGACAGACAGAAGUCCCUGGAAGUGAUAGAUGGGGCAAUUAUUGUGUCACUAUAAAGUCUUUUUUAGCAGCGUGGCUCCGGGGACGGCAAUGCCGGUUGUCAGUCAUUCGGUCGAUCCACAACUUUAGCUCAGGCUGAAAAAUGUAGAACUAAUGACUUUGGUGAUUACGAUCUCUUCCUCUAGCGCCACCAGGCGCAGAUUGUUUACUGGACAGAUUGUCAUGGGAUCGUGGGACAGAGAAUACCACCUGGUGAAUUUGGGUGACUUUUGUUAUCCACUGACUUUUUCUCCAGCGCCACCAGGAAACUAUUGGAUGGAUUCUCAUUAAAUUGGGUAGGGGCAUUAGUAGUUCCCCAAGGAUGAAUUGUAACAAUUUUCAUCCACAGAGCUGCUGGCAUACUCUUAGUAUUUUUAAUUGCAAAAUGUAAGGUUCCUUCAUGCCCCACAUAUAGUUUUCCAGGAUGUAGCUGUAGUGGAGCCUCCUCCAUUCCAUUUUGUGUUAUUGUUUCCUUUUAUAUACCCUAUGGACAUUUCCCAGGGAACAUUGCAUUGUUUUGCAGGGAUUAAAAUUCACUGAAGAUUAUAUCUGCUCCAGCACUGCCGAACAAUGGUGUGGGGCGUGAGGGUCUCCCUGUCACGGCCCAGUAAGAUUGCUGCCCACCCAUUCUGAUCAGAGCCAUGAGCCCAAUUAGAAGCUGAUCCAUAAGAAACAACUCAGAACAUUGUAAGUUAAACCAUGUAACUGUCUGCCCUUUGCACUCCAACUUGUGCAUGCUUUUGUCUUUGUAGGUGCCUGUUAAAGCAGUGAGCAGCACAGACGGUCCGUCUUUCAAAAGGUGCAUUGAUCCUAUGGAUUCUUUCUGUCCUCACUACGCCAAUCUGUAUGUUCAUACUUCAUCUAUCCCAGAGAAAACCACUCUAUCAUCCCAGUUUAAUUUCAUACUUUGCAAUAAUGCUACUCUCAGUACUUUUCUUUAAACUGUCUCUAGAAAACGCUCUGCGUCAGCAGUGUGAGACGCAGGCUUGCAGAGCUUCGGAGCUUCGGAGCUUUUCCAUGGUGGCAGAGCGAGCUGGGAUCACAGAAUGUGAUCUGUGAAUGGCCUCAGCGCAAAACUAGAGUAACAAUGUGGCUCAUCUAUGAAAACCUUCAUUGUCUUUGCUCUCCGUCUCGGAGCAGUCACUGCACAAAGAGUGUUUUGUCACGCCGCCCAACCUCUCGUUGUUCAUUCCGCAAACAGGUCAAAGGUACUCCUUAGAGGUUGUGGAUGUGGGCAGAUUUGGGAAAAUGCCACAAUUCAGAUAUUUUUUUUGUUUAUUCGAAACAUUUGAUCCUUAUUUCUGCCUACUACUGCGGCUAUCAAGACUGCUUGCAUACAACUGGCGUGUCUGCACUGUUCAAAUUUAAAAUUACAAUAAAAAACCAUGCACUUGGCACAUUACAAAAGGCGGCCUUAAAAAGUAGCUGGCAGCAAACAGAGCAGAUGUCACAGAUUCCUCACCAGACAGAGUUUGGCUGCUGGGCAGCAGAAACGAGGUGUAAACACAACUGUGAGCGAUUAUCACCAAUUCAAUUUUUAUGGUCAACCUUUUGGGAAAAUUCCAGACAUUUUGGGGAAAAUUUAUAUUUCAUCCUGAAGUGUGUUACACUGGAACUGAAUGUGAAUGUGAAUCCAACAGCACUCUAUUUUUGGUCACGGGCAAGUUCAAAGGGAAAUAUCCUUUUCUUUGGCCGUUAAAUGCUCCUCUAUCUCCAACCAGCUAACUUUGUGUGCUGCGCGGUGCUGGACAGGGUUUUCACUUUAAAAGAGUGCUUAUGAGAUGUUAACCAGAGGAUGAUACUCUGACAUAGCGUAAUGCUCAGAGGGGACGAGAGACUCAGGUGAGAAUUUUCUCUGACGUUGCACAUCAUCAGGUCGAUGAGACGUCACUUCAGAUGCCCAGAAAGGUUUCAAGUUCCAUGACAAGUGGUCAAAAUCCCGCUGUAGAUGGUUUAUUCAACUCUGACAACACAACACACCAUCAACUUGAAAAAUCAUCCCACUAUUCCCUCUUAUGAAGAGCAGCUGCUUCUGACUGGGAGUUAGGGUUGUUUUUCUUGGAGCCCGUGGCCACUGUCUGAGCCACAGGUGGCUGCUGCCCUGGAGCCUCACACGCUUCACAGCGAGCAGAGGGCCAGCGAGACCGCAGGCCAUGUGACAACAUUUUUGUUGUAACUGCUUCGCUCUCUCCCACCCUGUGCAACAUUUCAUUAUUUCCAAACCCACGAGCUCAAACAAUUUGUCUGUUCAGCUCGGUCAGCUGUGGCCUUUGAAGUGAGCUCCCCGGUGCUGCGUCUGUGUUCAUUAGCUAACGGUGUUUUUUUUGGAAGAGGGAUGCACAAACUAGAAGCAACUCUUCCUUCUGUGUGAAUGGAUAAAUCAUGAGAGAUAACAAACAGAAACAACAGUGCUCUUACACAUGCAGUAAAAAAGAAAGAGACAUUUUUACAAGAAUAGUUUCUAAAGGUUAAAGUUUGAUGCAGAACCCGUCCUGACUUUAACAUCUUCGGGUGGGGUCUUAAAGAAUGUUCAAAGGACCCGCUACUGUUUCACGAGGUAACAAAACUAAACACAUUUGCUGACGGAUUCAUUAAGUGUGAAAAAAUGCACCUCACAGCUAUCUGCCAAAUACUCAAGAAAAGAAAAAGGAGAGGAAACUCGAGCCCACCAACGCAGCGUUAUUUACCCACACGGCCUGCACAAACAUGCAGAUGGUAGCAGUGAUGGAUUAGGCCGGGGUUAUCCCAGUCAGGCAACACCGUGAUAAUAGAGUGAGUGCUUUUGGGACGAAGCGACAUGGACGUUGAAGUGAUGAAAGUGAGGUCCAAGAAGGGAGAUUUCUGUCCAACAUGCCACAGAGGAUUAAGUAUCUGGUUUCUCCCCCUGCCCUUAAUCUGGACCAGAGGGGGCGACUGUCAAUUUGCUAAACAACCCAUAUUGAUAGUGUUUGCGUCACCUCCAAAGCCAGGUUAACACUCGGGAUUAAACACAGGCACUUAGAGUGGGAGGACUUGGAUUAAGAAUUCCAUUGGAAAUUCCUUCGUAAACGUUUUGUGGGCAUAAUUUGAGUGCGAUAAGUCCACAAUAUUCAAGGAGACACAUCUCCUUGAGGGGCUGAUGGGAGACAGAAGGGGGUUGUGGGUGGUCAGCGGACCCGUUGUCGAUGCAGGUGUGAUGGGAAAACAAAAAAAAAGGUAGCCUCACUUGCUUCAUUCUGUGAACCGGUGAUGAAGAGGGUGCUGAGUUAGCCGGGAUGGAGAGCUGUGUCAAAUGGGUCAGUUAGUUACCAUCACAGGUGUGGACAGUGGAAGAGGCACAACGUGACAGAGACUGAUGGCCACUAGCUUGAAAGACCAAAACAUCUUUACUUUGUGGGGGGGAAAAGGCAAUCCAUCUAUUCAUGGAUGCAAGUCACUGUUAUUUGAAUCAUCAAUCGGUCGCUUUUGUUUCCUGUCUAUAAAUGUCAAAAACAUGCUCAUGAUCAAUGACAAAUGAUUAGAUUGGAUAUGAGCUUCAAAGUUCCUUCUUCCUCGGAAAUAGUAUUUUGAAUAAACCCUUUGAUUCAAGAGUUGUGUGUUUAAUCAAGAGAAGGAAAACCUGGGAAAGCCUCACACUUCAAACCACAAUUUAUUGAUUACAACAAACCGAUUUCAAUGUUUCUCAUAUCUGCUUUUUCAGGAGACAACACUGAAUCUACAACAUGUUCUACAAAUUAACUUGCUAAUAUCAAAGCUGCCUGUUUUAAGUAAAAUAAUUGAAAAGGCAGUUUUUCAACUGCAUAAUUACUGUUAAAAAGAGUUUUAAUUCCUUCCAGUCAGGCUUUCGACAACUCCACAGUGCUGACUUGUUCUGUUCUUGUUAAGGUUUUUUAACAAAAUCCACUACGGACAAUGGCAGAAUUUCAGUCUAGGUAAUACUGGAUCUCAGCACGGCAUUUGACACUGUCGACCAUGACGUAUUACUGGACAGACUAAUCAACUGGGUGGGACUCUCUGGCACAGCACUUAAUGGGUUAGAAACCUACUUGAAAGGAUGAGAAUACUUUGUGCCUGUAGCUAUUUACACAUCAGAGCUAAAGAAAGAGACAUGUGGUGUUCCCCAAGGUUCAAUACUGGGGCCCCUUCAGUUCAACAUCGACAUGCUUCAAAACAAAGUGUGUUAUCACAGGUAUGCAGAUGACACACAAAUAUACACAACUAUAUCACCAGUGGACUACAAUCCAAUAUAGGGGUUGGGUAAAUACAUUUAACAAAUCCACAACUAGAUGUGUCAAAACUUUCUUCAAUUAAACAAAGAUAAAACAGAAGUAAUUGUUUUUGGUAACAAGGAUGUUAAAAUGUUUGAAAGUCAGCGCUGUGCUUCAGUUACUGAUGUUAAAAAAUGUCCACUAUCACCUAAAGAAUAUAUCAAGGAUUAGAGGACUUAUGUCUCAACAAGAUUUGGAAAAACUUGUCCUUGUAUUUAUGUUCAGUAGACUGGACUACAGUAAUGGUGUGUUUACAUGUCUGUAAAAAGUCAAUCAGAAAGCUGCAGCUGAUCCAGAACACCGCAGCUCGAGUCCUCACUAGGACCAAGAAAGUGGAUCACAUCACGCCAGUUCUCAGGUCUUUACACUGAAUCCUGUCAAACAAAGAAUUGAGUUCAAAAUCCCGCCGUUGGUUUAUAAGACACUGAAUGGUUUAGGUACAUUUAGGUACACAAGUACAUUUCUGAUGUGCUGCUACCCUUUGAACCGCCACAAAGUCUUGGGUCGUCUGGGACUGGCCUAUUUCCGUUCCCAGGGUCAAAACUAAACAUGGAGAAGUAGCGUUUAGUUCUUCUAACAAAAUCCCAGAAAGCUUCAGGUCUGCGGAGUCCCUCAGCUCAUUUAAAUCCAGAAUAAGGACUUUUCUGUUUGCUGCUGCCUUUAAUUGACCAUUUCGGAAUUUCGGUACUCUACACUGAUAGUUUUAUUCUAAUUUUAGAUUUACAUUGUCUCUUUAAUAGUUUUAAUGACUGUUUUUAUGUUCCGAUCAAUUUACUUAACUGUUUUUAAAUCCCUGUUUGGAUUUUCCAGUUGUAUUCCAAAAACUGCCUAAGUUUGAACAGUUUUCAAUAGUUGAUCAACAUUUUCAUUAACCCAAACUCUUACCCUUAUCUUAGAAGUGUUGACAAAAGUUUAUCAAUUGUAACAUCUUUUGCAAUUAUUGCUAAAGUAUGUAAUGCAAUAAAAUGAGCUACAGUACACUGUUUCUAUCUGAAAAGCUCUCAAAAGGGUGUAGGUAUUCAAAUAUUAUAUUAACACAAAAGAACAAGAAUAUGCUCUCUGAAAAUACCAGAAUACCAGCAAACAUUUGAGUGCAAGUCUUUUAUUGCAAACAAAGAAACAAAAUACAAUCUACCGCACCUUCAUCUGAUUCCUGUGAGACAUCAAUCAUUCAAACAAACAUAGAAAAUAAUUGGUCAGAAACUCUCGAGAACAAAUAUAAAAUGCAGUGAAAACAGACUCACUACAGUAUCUCUCAAAUGCACAUGAGACCAACUAAUUACAGGCUGCAACAAAAAACUAAUAAUAACAUUUUUUAAAAAGCCAGCAUAUUUACAGGACAAUAUUUUCUUUGAGACUGGCAUGUCUAAAUUCCCAGUGAAACUUUACUUCUUAGUCAGUAACUAAAUUGUUACAGUUGUCUUUUAAAGUAUAUAAGGCAUGACAAACAACCUUUUGUCAACUCUGGUAACAGAAAAUCUUAAAUAUGUAGAUGGAAGACAUGGAAACAGACCCGUUGUUCCUCCUCUUUGACGAUAUUGAUAUUCUUUACACUAUUGCUGUUUUUCGAAGUUCCUGUGCAUUGCUCAGCCUGUUUAAAGCACCAACUAUUCAGCAGGGGAGUCCAGAACAAACUGUACAUGAGCACAUGAAUCAAACUGCUAUGCUAACCUAUUAGCAUGAUGUACAUGUAUAUAAGCAUUAGUGAUGAGAUAAAUGAACAAAGGAGAUAGCAAAUAAUUUACAUGCAACCUGUCAGUCAGUGAUCCAGAAGUAUAACAAAACAUUCAUGACUUUUACUUUUGUCAAACUUUCUUCAGAGAUGUACAGAAGCUGAAAGAAGUCGUCCAUCUUCGGCGCAGAGACAACCGUUGAAUGGCAGAUUGAGUGCUAUAUAAUCACACAUUUUGGGCACUUGCUAAAUGUAAAGUGAGAUAAGUUAACUUAAGUUACUUUUCGAAUGUGGACUGCGAUGGCAGAUAUGACGCAGAUGUGACGCAGAUGUGUGGGGGAUGGGUGCGCGUGUAAACGACGAGUGAGAGCGAGAUUAAAGUAGUUUAUUCUCAGACAUCUAAAUCUUUCAACCAAAGCCCUGGCAUGGGAACACGAGGGCGGAGGAGGUUUUUUUUUAAAAAUGACCCACAAUCUAGAAAACCCCAAUAAGAACAAAUAACUCAGAACGUGCUCCCACCCAUUAUACAGUAUUUGGUUCUGUCAUGUAGUGACACGAGGGAUCUUUCCAAAUACCGCUUUUGCUUUUCCUUACACAUGAAGUCCCUCUGAUCGAGGCUUAGCUCCGCUGGAAACAACAGAAAAGACACAAAAAGAAGUGGAAAAGUCUAUGAUCAGACGAAGCAGCGAGAGAUGACAUCAUCGAUGAGCUCAACGCUUUUGUCUCAAGUGAACGUCACUGGGUCUGUUGUUGUUGGUAGGAGAUGAAAAAAAAGAAACAUCCCUUUGGGAGGUAUUACAUGGACAGCUCUAGCAUUAUAUGGUUCCUUUAAGCCUUCUUUUAUUUUCACUCAUGGAUUAAGUUUCUAGUUUCCAUGAUCGCCGUGUAUCCUCAGAGGAGCCAAACCCCAACGUUAGAGCCUGUUCUGUGAUCAGUGGUGAUCUCAGCCGCACACAACCAUUCCAACUCGCUGUGUGGUAUAAAUCAUACUUCAAACACUUACUUAAUAAAGCCGAAAGAUCGGUUUAUUAGUGCCCUUUUUUCCGUUAUUUGGCUUAUUUAGCAUCAUGAAUCGCGGCCCUGUGGAGUGUGGAGCGGGAGCAGUGAACUGGUGGUGGUUUAUGGAGCCACAUAACGUUAGACGAUGACAGCUGUGACUGUCGCAUCUGGAAUUUAUAACUCACCGCUUUGAUCCCACGUUUAAAAUAAAAACUGUAAUGACCAAUUGGUGUUUGUGUGCAGAUGGAAAUCAGACGAAACAGGCGGUGGGGGACGACGACACCCUGUUAUCAUGGAAAAGUGGAGAGGCUUAAAGCCUGGUCGGCUUCCUUUGAUGUUCAUGGACAACUGUAAUAACCGAGUUGUGCUUCUUUUACUGCAAGAAAGUGACUAAGUUAACACAUUUCAAUAACCCAAAGCCAAAAGUCAUUUCUGCAGUAAUUAUGUCGUUGGUAGCGGCAAGGAUAAGAGGAAUCAAUACAUGCAUGUAAACAAGCACAGAGG